GACGAAGAACGUAGCGAAAUGCGAUAAGUAAUGUGAAUUGCAGAAUUCAGUGAAUCAUCGAAUCUUUGAACGCACAUUGCGCCCCUUGGUAUUCCGAGGGGCAUGCCUGUUCGAGCGUCAUUAUAACCCUCAAGCUCAGCUUGGUGUUGGGGCCUGCUGCAGUGGCAGCCCUUAAAAUCAGUGGCGGCGCCAUCUGGCUCUAAGCGUAGUAAUUCUUCUCGCUAUGGAGUCCUGGUGGAUGCUUGCCAUCAACCCCCAAUUUUUCUAUGGUUGACCUCGGAUCAGGUAGGGAUACCCGCUGAACUUAAGCAUAUCAAUAAGCGGAGGA
rnacentral:misc_RNA from 1 species